UUCCCACAUAGGCAAGAGUCCUGAGUCU
rnacentral:piRNA from 1 species